AAAAGAAAAGAAGUAGCAAAAGGAAGAAAGGAGUAUCGGGAAAGGGAAGGAAGAAAGGAAAAGAAGAAGGGGAAAAAGAAGAAGGGAAGAAGAAGGAAGGAAGAUUGGCCGAAUUUUUUAGGUUUCUCCAACAAGGAAGAGCACCAACAAGGAGAAAAGAAUGAUUUUGGUCUAGAAUACAAGAAAUUAUAAAGAAAAAAGGGAGAAAGAAGAUGAAUAGUAGCAGAGACAGGGGUUAAGCAAGGGCAACAGAUUUGUCUUCCGUCCAGCGUGUGUGUGGCGUGAUUAUGGAUAUGGGUAGGACAGUCAUGGUUGGAGCUUGACUCGCUGGGACUCGAUCUUUAUAUGUGGAUAAGUCGAUGUGAGUACAGCUUUGAGUUGAUCUGACUGACCCCCGCAUUUGGAUUAUUAAGAGAAAGUCCGGCUCGAAUUGAUCUCACUGGCAGGUGUUGGAAUUAAGAGAGCUAUAUAGUCGAUUAACUCCCAUAUGUAUAUAUACACUUUGAUGUGACACACGAAUGUGUGAGUGCUCCAAAUUAUUUUUUGUAUAAAUAUUGUUUGAAUUA